rnacentral:rRNA from 1 species
UACGUAGGGCGCAAGCGUUGUCCGGAAUUAUUGGGCGUAAAGAGCUCGUAGGCGGUCUGUUACGUCCGCUGUGAAAACCCAGGGCUCAACCCCGGACUUGCGGUGGGUACGGGCAGACUAGAGUGUGGUAGGGGAGACUGGAAUUCCUGGUGUAGCGGUGAAAUGCGCAGAUAUCAGGAGGAACACCGAUGGCGAAGGCAGGUCUCUGGGCCACUACUGACGCUGAGAAGCGAAAGGCGUGGGGAGCGAACAGG